rnacentral:rRNA from 1 species
UGUCCUACGGGGCGCAGCAGUGAGGAAUAUUGGUCAAUGGGCGGGAGCCUGAACCAGCCAAGUCGCGUGAGGGAAGACGGUCCUAUGGAUUGUAAACCUCUUUAGGCGGGGAGCAAUGCCGGGCACGCGUGCCCGGAGGGAGAGUACCCGCAGAAUAAGCAUCGGCUAACUCCGUGCCAGCAGCCGCGGUAAUACGGAGGAUGCGUGCGUUGUCCGGAUUUAUUGGGUUUAAUGGGUGCGUGGGCGGAUUUUUCAGUCAGCGG